rnacentral:rRNA from 1 species
UACGUAGGGACCAAGCGUUGUUCGGAUUUACUGGGCGUAAAGGGCGCGUAGGCGGCGCGGUAAGUCACUUGUGAAAUCUCUGAGCUUAACUCAGAACGGCCAAGUGAUACUGCAGUGCUAGAGUGUGGAAGGGGCAAUCGGAAUUCUUGGUGUAGCGGUGAAAUGCGUAGAUAUCGAGAGGAACACCUGCGGCGAAGGCGGGUUGCUGGGCCGACACUGACGCUGAUGCGCGAAAGCCAGGGGAGCGAACGGG